UUUUGGGGAAAGAGAGAGAGAAGAAUCGAGAGAGACCGAGAGAAGGAGGAAGAAGAGGAGGAGGAGAAGAAGAAUUUUCAAGCUAGAGUUCUCAAAUUCUUCAAUUUCUCAUUUGGUUUAGAAUGGUAAGUAUAAAUUUAUUGAAUUAAAUUUUUAAGGGUUAUGGAAAACUUGCUGUAAUUCAAAGUCUAGCAAGAAUUAUGUGUUAUUGAUGAUUAAAACAAGUAUAUGUCAAAGAAAUAUGUAUUUGGAAAUUAGUGUUGAAGAAAGUCGAAACUUUGGAAAUGGGUUUGUGAUAUAAAGGCAUAUUAUUUUGAAAUUCUUGGAAUUAUGUGAUGCUAAAAACUUAAAUUAAGAAUUUGAGGUUGAAAUUCUCAUUUUUUUUAUUUUUUAUUUUUUUAGCAAUUUUCGAGUUUUUGCAAAAACAGGUACUAGUUUUGAAAUUCUGCCCAGAAAGGUGUUAUUUCUGUCAAUGUUUCCGGUGACAGACUCCAAUAUUCAGAAAUUGGUGCCAGUUUUCAAUAUUUUGGAGUUAUAGUGCUAGUUUUGUCAAUCAUCUAAUUUUGGUGGAUUUUUAGUAUUUGAACUAAAUUAAGUGUUAAAUAUUUGACGUUUUGGUGUUGAAAUAAUUUAUAUAAAGAAGUAUACGUUGUUAAUGACUCUAAAUGGGAUUAUGAGAUUGAAAAUAAAAUAUGUGAAGUUUUCAUUGGUAAAUUAUUAUUUCUAAUGGUAGGAAAAUACUCAAGGAACGCUUGUGAAGGGAUAUAAUUUAUUACAGCGAGAGCAUGAUAUCAUACUCGAAAUUUGAAAGUGAUGAGGCGACGAGAAUAUCGAAACCAUCAUAGACUAUAACUUUGUGAGUAGAUAAAACUUAUUUUUCAGAAAUAAGUCUUUUUUAAAUUUUAAAGUUAUUUAUUUUAUAAAGUUGACUUCAUAGCAUGAUUUUCAGAAUAAAAUGAAUUUUAUUAUCAAUUUUUUUUAAAGUUAAAUUCAGUUCAGUUAAAUUAUUUUAGUAGCAUGUUAUAUUCUUAUUACAUGUUUCAGUAUAGUUAAAGUUAUUUUUAAAAACCCAGGUGAUUUUACCCCAGUUUGCACUGAUGUGAAUAUGUUUCGACAGUGUAUAACUAGUUAUAGUGAUUUUAUCGUGAAUGUGUUUCCAUAGUGUAUGACCAUAUUAUCAGAGGUCUUUGGGACCCACUCUCGUACACACAUAGGUUUUAGGCCGUGUAUUAGGGUGAUUAGCCUUUGGGGCAGUUCUGCGUACGUAUGACCAGAUUAUCAGCUAUCAGAUUAUCAUAUUUGAAUGGUUUUGCCUUGUAAAUCGAGAUUACUCUGUACAUGAGUAAGACUAUUCAUUGGGUACUCUUUUUUGCGUGAUUUUUCAGUAUUUAUUCAAUUCUCAGAUUUCAGAUUAUGGAAUUCAGUUAAUUCAGUUUUCAGAAUAAAGCUUUCAGCUUAUAGUAUUGACCAGUAGCAAUAUUGCAUAAAUUUUCAUGAAUAUCAAAUUAUUCGUUAACUUUACAUCUACUUAUCUAGAAUUAAGAACAAAGAAUUGUAUGAUGCAAUCAUGUUUUGGUUUUAAAAGUGUUACCAGAUUUCAGAAUUUUUCAAAGAUUUAAUAAAGCUAGAAUUUUCAGAAAAUAUGUAGAAAUGGAAAAAGUAUAUUUGUUCGCAAAUUAUCCAUUCACUGAGCUAUAAGCUUAUAUGUCAUUUCCCCCUUUUUCCUUAUCAGAUAGCAGUUGAAUUGAGCAGAUUUGGAGCCUGUUGUUCCGCCAUAUUGAGUCAUACGUCAUAGGUUGUAUGGCCUACUUUACAGUAUAUAUUUCUUUGAGUUAUAUGUAGUUUAUGUCAGAAAAUGUUAUCAUGGGUUCACUGCAUAUUUGGUGUCUUUAGUAUAUUUAAGAAAUGUUGGUUGCAAAGAAAGGAAAUGUUGAUUUGCCGACAUUUUAUUUGAAUAGUUUGUAUUUUGAGGGAUUAGCAUAUCCUAUUUAUAUUAUAGGUAUUGAUUUGAGAAAAAUUAGUUGUUGUUC
rnacentral:lncRNA from 1 species